rnacentral:lncRNA from 1 species
UCAAUCUAAAAGUUUCUGAGUCCAUGUAUACUUUAAUCUGCAACCAGGUUAACGCAUCAAUGAGAAAAGAAGUAUCGUAUGGCAAACAUAAGAAGAAACUGACUGAAAGCAAAUCAAAAGUAUAUAAUAUUCUCCUUCUUUCCUCAAAUCAGUUGAACCUUUGCCAUAUUUUCAGGAGACCAACCCAGAGUUUUAGUAAAACCAGCGGAUAAAGUGUAACAUGAAACCAACAAGAAAAACAAAACAUAUUCAGAAAAGGGUAACGGGCACAAUAAAAGGAACAUAAAUCUUACGGCAGUGCUUACAAAUUUAUCAAUGAAGUUAAAUAAUGAAAUUAUUAUACAUAGUUACAGCACAUUCUCAUCAUGUGGAUAAACCCAUUCAGCGACUCCAUAUCGGUAGCAUUCACAACACUGUCAUGCUUGCUUAGCUUCAGUUUCAAAAUCUUGUUGGUCUGCCAUACUUCUUUUGGGAUCACGAAAUUUUGAGACAACUGAGCAGAAUGUCACAGCAAACUUUUUAUGAAGUAAAUGUCACAACAAAGGCCAUUUCACGAAAGUGACACAAAACAGGCUACUCUUUCAAAACUAUAAAACUUGCUAAGUACAAGAAAGCUUAUGGUAACAGACAUACCCUGCCUCAAAAGACAUUCAAGAGGUGGAACACUGGUAUCUGUUGUUUUUCCUAAUAAUAAAAAAUCUGUGUACAUAUAAUACCCCAGUAACUGACAUAACUGCGUCUAAUCAAAUAAGAUAUCAUGAAACAGAUGGUAUACUAAAAAAGUACAAGCCUAAUCGUCAUAGCAAGCACAGAACAGAAAAAGAAACUAUCUUAGCUAAUCCUUAUACAUAAUUCAAGUCCACAUAUCCACCCUGUAAAGGUUCAAAAUUUACAACAACAAUAUACCCAAUGGAGUCCCACAAAAUGGGGUUUGGGGAGGUUAGAGUGAACGUAGACCUUGAUUUACAACAACAAUGCCCAAUGGAGUCCCACAAAAUGGGGUUGGGGGAGGUUAGAGUGAAAGCAGACCUUACAUCUACCUCAGAGGUAGAGAGACU